GAAGCUUCGACUAAGGUUCGAUUCGAGCGUCAGCGAGAAAGCGUUGCCGCAGGCAACGACCCGAAGGGCGAAGCGCGCAGCGCUGAGUCAUCCUUCCCCCACCACCA
rnacentral:sRNA from 3 species